UACGUAGGGUCCGAGCGUUGUCCGGAAUCACUGGGCGUAAAGGGCGCGUAGGCGGCUGUUCAAGUCGGGGGUGAAAUCCCGUGGCUCAACCACGGAAUGGCCUUCGAUACUGGACGGCUCGAGACCGGAAGAGGUGAGUGGAACUGCGAGUGUAGAGGUGAAAUUCGUAGAUAUUCGCAAGAACACCAGUGGCGAAGGCGGCUCACUGGUCCGGUUCUGACGCUGAGGCGCGAAAGCGUGGGGAGCAAACAGG
rnacentral:rRNA from 1 species